rnacentral:rRNA from 1 species
CGACACACUAUCGUUAACUGAAUACAUAGGUUAACGAGGCGAACCGGGGGAACUGAAACAUCUAAGUACCCCGAGGAAAAGAAAUCAACCGAGAUUCCCCCAGUAGCGGCGAGCGAACGGGGAGCAGCCCGGAGUCUGAAUCAGCUUGUGUGUUAGUGGAACGGUCUGGAAAGUCCGACGGUACAGGGUGAUAGUCCCGUACACGAAAAUGCACAGGUUGUGAACUCGAAGAGUAGGGCGGGACACGUGGUAUCCUGUCUGAAUAUGGGGGGACCAUCCUCCAAGGCUAAAUACUCCUGACUGACCGAUAGUGAACCAGUACCGUGAGGGAAAGGCGAAAAGAACCCCGGCGAGGGGAGUGAAAAAGAACCUGAAACCGUGUACGUACAAGCAGUGGGAGCCUACUUGUUAGGUGACUGCGUACCUUUUGUAUAAUGGGUCAGCGACUUAUAUUCUGUAGCAAGGUUAACCGUAUAGGGGAGCCGAAGGGAAACCGAGUCUUAACUGGGCGUUAAGUUGCAGGGUAUAGACCCGAAACCCGGUGAUCUAGCCAUGGGCAGGUUGAAGGUUGGGUAACACUAACUGGAGGACCGAACCGACUAAUGUUGAAAAAUUAGCGGAUGACCUGUGGCUGGGGGUGAAAGGCCAAUCAAACCGGGAGAUAGCUGGUUCUCCCCGAAAGCUAUUUAGGUAGCGCCUCGUGAACUCAUCUUCGGGGGUAGAGCACUGUUUCGGCUAGGGGGCCAUCCCGGCUUACCAACCCGAUGCAAACUACGAAUACCGAAGAAUGUUAUCACGGGAGACACACGGCGGGUGCUAACGUCCGUCGUGAAGAGGGAAACAACCCAGACCGCCAGCUAAGGUCCCAAAGUCAUGGUUAAGUGGGAAACGAUGUGGGAAGGCACAGACAGCCAGGAUGUUGGCUUAGAAGCAGCCAUCAUUUAAAGAAAGCGUAAUAGCUCACUGGUCGAGUCGGCCUGCGCGGAAGAUGUAACGGGGCUAAACCAUGCACCGAAGCUGCGGCAGCGACACUAUGUGUUGUUGGGUAGGGGAGCGUUCUGUAAGCCGUUGAAGGUGGCCUGUGAGGGUUGCUGGAGGUAUCAGAAGUGCGAAUGCUGACAUAAGUAACGAUAAAGCGGGUGAAAAGCCCGCUCGCCGGAAGACCAAGGGUUCCUGUCCAACGUUAAUCGGGGCAGGGUGAGUCGACCCCUAAGGCGAGGCCGAAAGGCGUAGUCGAUGGGAAACAGGUUAAUAUUCCUGUACUUGGUGUUACUGCGAAGGGGGGACGGAGAAGGCUAUGUUAGCCGGGCGACGGUUGUCCCGGUUUAAGCAUGUAGGCGGAGGUUCCAGGUAAAUCCGGUACCUUUUAACGCUGAGGUGUGAUGACGAGGCACUACGGUGCUGAAGUAACAAAUGCCCUGCUUCCAGGAAAAGCCUCUAAGCAUCAGGUAACACGAAAUCGUACCCCAAACCGACACAGGUGGUCAGGUAGAGAAUACCAAGGCGCUUGAGAGAACUCGGGUGAAGGAACUAGGCAAAAUGGUGCCGUAACUUCGGGAGAAGGCACGCUGAUAUGUAGGUGAAGCCCCUGCGGGUGGAGCUGAAAUCAGUCGAAGAUACCAGCUGGCUGCAACUGUUUAUUAAAAACACAGCACUGUGCAAACACGAAAGUGGACGUAUACGGUGUGACGCCUGCCCGGUGCCGGAAGGUUAAUUGAUGGGGUUAGCGGCAACGCGAAGCUCUUGAUCGAAGCCCCGGUAAACGGCGGCCGUAACUAUAACGGUCCUAAGGUAGCGAAAUUCCUUGUCGGGUAAGUUCCGACCUGCACGAAUGGCGUAAUGAUGGCCAGGCUGUCUCCACCCGAGACUCAGUGAAAUUGAACUCGCUGUGAAGAUGCAGUGUACCCGCGGCAAGACGGAAAGACCCCGUGAACCUUUACUAUAGCUUGACACUGAACACUGGUCCUUGAUGUGUAGGAUAGGUGGGAGGCUUUGAAGCGUGGACGCCAGUCUGCGUGGAGCCGACCUUGAAAUACCACCCUUUAAUGGCUGGUGUUCUAACGUAGACCCGUAAUCCGGGUUGCGGACAGUGUCUGGUGGGUAGUUUGACUGGGGCGGUCUCCUCCCAAAGAGUAACGGAGGAGCACGAAGGUUAGCUAAUCCUGGUCGGACAUCAGGAGGUUAGUGCAAUGGCAUAAGCUAGCUUGACUGCGAGAGUGACGGCUCGAGCAGGUGCGAAAGCAGGUCAUAGUGAUCCGGUGGUUCUGAAUGGAAGGGCCAUCGCUCAACGGAUAAAAGGUACUCCGGGGAUAACAGGCUGAUACCGCCCAAGAGUUCAUAUCGACGGCGGUGUUUGGCACCUCGAUGUCGGCUCAUCACAUCCUGGGGCUGAAGUAGGUCCCAAGGGUAUGGCUGUUCGCCAUUUAAAGUGGUACGCGAGCUGGGUUUAGAACGUCGUGAGACAGUUCGGUCCCUAUCUGCCGUGGGCGCUGGAGAAUUGAGGGGGGCUGCUCCUAGUACGAGAGGACCGGAGUGGACGCAUCACUGGUGUUCGGGUUGUCAUGCCAAUGGCACUGCCCGGUAGCUAAAUGCGGAAGAGAUAAGUGCUGAAAGCAUCUAAGCACGAAACUUGCCCCGAGAUGAGUUCUCCCUGAGACUAUAAGUCUCCUGAAGGAACGUUGAAGACGACGACGUUGAUAGGUCGGGUGUGUAAGCGCAGCGAUGCGUUGAGCUAACCGAUACUAAUGAACCGUGAGGCUUAACCUU